rnacentral:rRNA from 1 species
AUUGAACGCUGGCGGCAGGCCUAACACAUGCAAGUCGAGCGGGAACUUCGGUUCUAGCGGCGGACGGGUGAGUAAUGCGUAGGAAGCUACCCGACAGAGGGGGAUACCAGUUGGAAACGACUGUUAAUACCGCAUAAUGUCUACGGACCAAAGUGUGGGAGCUUCGGGCCACAUGCUGUCGGAUGCGCCUACGUGGGAUUAGCUCGUUGGUGAGGUAAGGGCUCACCAAGGCGACGAUCCCUAGCUGGUUUGAGGGGAUGAUCAGCCACACUGGAGCUGAGACACGGUCCAGACUCCUACGGGAGGCAGCAGUGGGGAAUAUUGGACAAUGGGCGCAAGCCUGGUCCAGCCAUGCCGCGUGUGUGAAGAAGGCCUUCGGGUUGUAAAGCACUUUCAGUAGGGAGGAAGGGGUUGUAGUUAAUAGCUGCAACUUUUGACGUUACCUACAGAAGAAGCACCGGCUAACUCUAUGCCAGCCGCCGCCGUAACAC